rnacentral:rRNA from 1 species
AGUGAACGCUGGCGGUAGGCCUAACACAUGCAAGUCGAGCGGACGGACGGUAAGAGUGUGCUCUUGCGGGUGGCGACUGACGGGUGAGUGAGACAUACAUAACAAUCUAAUUUUUCGUGGGUGAUAUCGUAGAGCAACUUACGCUACUAGAGCAUACGACGUACGGGUGAAAGCAAGGGUUCUUCGCACCUUGCGCGAUUGAAUGAGACGAUGUCGGAUUAGCUAGUUGGUAAGGUAAAGGCUUACCAAGGCAACGAUCCAUAGCCGACCUGAGAGGAUGAUCGGCCACACUGGAACUGAGACACGGUCCAGACUCCUACGGGAGGCAGCAGUAGGGAAUCUUCCGCAAUGGGCGAAAGCCUGACGGAGCAACGCCGCGUGAGUGAUGAAGGUCUUCGGAUCGUAAAACUCUGUUAUUAGGGAAGAACAUAUGUGUAAGUAACUGUGCACAUCUUGACGGUACCUAAUCAGAAAGCCACGGCUAACUACGUG